rnacentral:rRNA from 1 species
UAAUACCGGUUGUGCGGGAACGUGAAAGAGAAAUUGCCUGAAGGUGAGCUCCCGUCAAUUUACCUAGUAGGUGGUGUAAAGGACUACCUAGGCGACGAUCUGUAGCUGGUCUGAGAGGACGAUCACCCACACUGGAACUGAAACACGGUCCAAACUCCUACGGGAGGCAGCAGUGGGGAAUUUUCCGCAAUGGGCGAAAGCCUGACGGAGCAAUACCGCGUGAGGGAUGAAGGCUUUUGGGUCGUAAACCUCUUUUAUUAGGGAAGAAAUUUGACGGUACCUAUUGAAUAAGCAUCGGCUAAC